rnacentral:rRNA from 1 species
CGCACAUAAGACAUGCAAGUCGAACGGAAGUACGUUAUAAUCGAAGACUGAAAUGAACAGAGAACUGUUCGAAGGAAUUGACGUUGACUUAUAACAAUGGCUUUAGUGGCGGACUGGUGAGUAACGCGUGAGCAACCUGCCUAUUAGAGGGGAAUAACAGUGAGAAAUCAUUGCUAAUACCGCAUAUGCCAUAGGUACCACAUGGUACUAGUGGGAAAGGAGUAAUCCGCUAAUAGAUGGGCUCGCGUCUGAUUAGAUAGUUGGUGGGGUAACGGCCUACCAAGUCGACGAUCAGUAGCCGGACUGAGAGGUUGAACGGCCACAUUGGGACUGAGAUACGGCCCAGACUCCUACGGGAGGCAGCAGUCGGGAAUAUUGCGCAAUGGAGGAAACUCUGACGCAGUGACGCCGCGUAUAGGAUGAAGGUCUUCGGAUUGUAAACUAUUGUCGUUAGGGAAGAGAAAGGACAGUACCUAAGGAGGAAGCUCCGGCUAACUACGUGCCAGCCGCUGC